rnacentral:rRNA from 1 species
AGUGAACGCUGGCGGUAGGCCUAACACAUGCAAGUCGAACGGCAGCACAGUAAGAGCUUGCUCUUACGGGUGGCGAGUGGCGGACGGAUGAGGAAUACAUCGGAAUCUACUUUUUCGUGGGGGAUAACGUAGGGAAACUUACGCUAAUACCGCAUACGACCUACGGGUGAAAGCAGGGGAUCUUCGGACCUUGCGCGAUUGAAUGAGCCGAUGUCGGAUUAGCUAGUUGGCGGGGUAAAGGCCCACCAAGGCGACGAUCCGUAGCUGGUCUGAGAGGAUGAUCAGCCACACUGGAACUGAGACACGGUCCAGACUCCUACGGGAGGCAGCAGUGGGGAAUAUUGGACAAUGGGCGCAAGCCUGAUCCAGCCAUACCGCGUGGGUGAAGAAGGCCUUCGGGUUGUAAAGCCCUUUCGUUGGGAAAGAAAAGCAGCAGGUUAAUACCCCGCUGUUCUGACGGUACCCAAAGAAUAAGCACCGGCUAACUUCGUG